ensembl:lncRNA
AUGCCACAACUAAGACCUGGAGCAGUCAAUAAGUUUUCUUUAAAAAGGCAGACUUUUCACCGUCUGAGCCACCAGGGAAGCUUGCAUCCAGGAGCCUCUCACAUAAUGAAGACAGUCCCAGAUGAACCUAGAAGAAUCUGCUCCUCCAAGGCAGCGUCCAAGAGCUCAGCCUGGAGCAGCUCAGCCAGAGUCGCUACCAUCCAUCCUCGUUUCAGCCUCCCUGUAAGCCAGACUAGCAUCCCCAUUAAUAUAAAUGAGGUCUUUGCUGACUUUGAUUUCCAAAUGAGCCCAGCCGUUCAAGAUCUCUAUUCUAGGAAAUGAGAAAUUUAUGUAAUGAAAAUUAAAAGAGAAACUGGGGAAGCGGCUCUUUAAGUGCCUACUUCCUGGGUAAGUGAGUCAGAUCUGGCAGGAGAUGGAUGAAGAUGCCACCCUAGGUCUCCUGGGAACCUGUGACCAGCAGGGAGGCAGGGAGCAUCCUGGCUAUAGGCAAAAAUGAAGCCCCCAGACCCCCUUCCUUUACUCCAAAAAACAGCCAUGAUAAUAAUAGCUCAUCUUCACUGCUCCUGUUCACCUGCCCAACCCUGUUCUAAGCACUUUACUUACAUGGGUUAUUUCGUUCAACCUUCAUGACAAAAAGAUGGUAUAGGCACUACUAUGUUCCCCAUUUUACAGAUGGGAAAACUGAGGCUCAGGUUGUGACCUGAUCAAGGACACAUAGAAAACAGUGACCAAAAUGGGACUCGAGUCUUUUGUCUUUCAUCUCCACAGAUCCUCUAGUCCAGAGCUCAGACAGUGUGGAAUGGAAGGAAGGCUCAGGAGGCAGAGAGAUUUGGGUUCGAAUCCAAGCUUCAACUACUGACUUGCUAUAUGACCUUGAACAAACUGCUUACUUCCUGGCGGCUCAGUUCCUUUAUAAUUUUUGCCCCUUCUCCAUUGAGUUCAUCCCUGAAUUAAAGAAGAUAAUGUAUAAAGAUGGCAACACAGGAUUUCAGAUGCCUUCUCAAACUAAUUUUAGAAACCAAUGGUAAACUCUUAGAACUGAAAAGUCUUUGGGCAAUAGCUUCAGGUACAGUUGGAUCUAGGGGCUCUAAAGAUGCCAAGGGCUCAGUUUUUUCUUUUUCUCCAUGUAGGAGACCCUCCCUAAGAGCUCCAAGAUUACAUCAGAUUUCUUACAGCUAGAAAUCUUGGUUGAAAGAAAGUUUUUUUCAAACAGCACAGCAAAAGUCCUAGUAUUCACUCUGAUUGGACCAAGUUGGGUCACAUGAUCAUCCCAUCACCAAUCUCUAUGGCCAGAGAGAUGGACAAUGCUGAUUGGGCCACCCAGGCCAUCCCCUCCUAGAGCUACGGGGAGGGGUGCAGAAAACCAGGGCUGAGCCAUUUGCACUGUGAGGGGGAGAGGCUAGCCUCCUCCCAAAAACCUGGGGUGCUCUUACCAGAAAAAUAAAGAAUGUAUGCUGGGCCA